rnacentral:rRNA from 1 species
AAUGAACGCUGGCGGCAGGCCUAACACAUGCAAGUCGAACGAGUGGCGGACGGGUGAGUAAUGCCUGGGAAACUGCCUGAUGGAGGGGGAUAACUACUGGAAACGGUAGCUAAUACCGCAAACCAUCGGAUGUGCCCAGAUGGGAUUAGCUAGUAGGUGGGGUAACGGCUCACCUAGGCGACGAUCCCUCGCUGGUCUGGGAGGAUGAAAAGCCACACUGGAACGGAAAAAAGAUCCAGACUCAUACGGGAGGCAGCAGUGGGGAGUAUUGCACAAUGGGCGAAAGCCUGAUACAGCCAUGCCGCGUGUAGGAAGAAGGCCUUCGGGUUGUAAAGUACUUUCAGCGGGGAGGCGUUACCCGCAGAAGAAGCGCCGGCUAACUCCGUGCCAGCAGCCGCGGUAAUUC